rnacentral:rRNA from 1 species
UACGUAGGGGCCGAGCGUUGUCCGGAAUUAUUGGGCGUAAAGAGCGUGUAGGCGGUUUGGCAAGUCUACUGUGAAAUCCUGGGGCUCAACCCUGGGCGUGCAGCCGAUACUGCCAGGCUAGAGGAAGGUAGAGGCGAGUGGAAUUCCGGGUGUAGCGGUGAAAUGCGCAGAUAUUCGGAGGAACACCAGUAGCGAAGGCGGCUCGCUGGGCCAUACCUGACGCUGAGACGCGAAAGCGUGGGGAGCGAACAGG